rnacentral:rRNA from 1 species
AAUAAGAGGUCCCGCCUGCCCUGUGACUAUAAUGUUUAACGGCCGCGGUAUUUUGACCGUGCGAAGGUAGCGCAAUCACUUGUCUUUUAAAUGGAGACCUGUAUGAAUGGCAUAACGAGGGCUUAACUGUCUCCUUUUUCAGGUCAAUGAAAUUGAUCUCCCCGUGCAGAAGCGGGGAUACGCACAUAAGACGAGAAGACCCUAUGGAGCUUUAGACACCAAGGCGGAUUAUGUCAAUCACCCCUGAACAAAGGACUAAACAAGAUAACCCCCGCCCUAAUGUCUUUGGUUGGGGCGACCGCGGGGAAGAAAAAAACCCCCAUGUGGAACGGGACACCAGUCCUACAACCAAGAGCUCCCGCUCUAAGUACCAGAACUUCUGACCAGACAGAUCCGGCUUAAGCCGAUCAACGGACCGAGUUACCCUAGGGAUAACAGCGCAAUCUCCUUUUAGAGUCCAUAUCGACAAGGAGGUUUACGACCUCGAUGUUGGAUCAGGACAUCCUAAUGGUGCAGCCGCUAUUAAGGGUUCGUUUGUUCAACGAUUAAAGUCCU